CAGUAGCCGCGGGAAAACGUAGGUGGCAAGCGUUGUCCGGAGUUAUUGGGCGUAAAGCGCGCGCAGGUGGUUUAAUAAGUCUGAUGUGAAAGCCCACGGCUCAACCGUGGAGGGUCAUUGGAAACAGUUAAACUUGAGUGCAGGAGAGAAAAAUGGAAUUCCUAGUGUAGCGGUGAAAUGCGUAGAGAUUAGGAGGAACACCAGUGGCGAAGGCGGCUUUUUGGCCUGUAACUGACACUGAGGCGCGAAAGCGUGGGGAGCAAACAGGAUUAGAUACCCCCGUAGUCCCUGUCUCUUAUAA
rnacentral:rRNA from 1 species